rnacentral:rRNA from 1 species
AGUGAACGCUGGCGGUAGGCCUAACACAUGCAAGUCGAACGGCAGCACAGUAAGAGCUUGCUCUUACGGGUGGCGAGUGGCGGACGGGUAAGGAAUACAUCGGAAUCUACUUUUUCGUGGGGGAUAACGUAGGGAAACUUACGCUAAUACCGCAUACGACCUACGGGUGAAAGCAGGGGAUCUUCGGACCUUGCGCGAUUGAAUGAGCCGAUGUCGGAUUAGCUAGUUGGCGGGGUAAAGGCCCACCAAGGCGACGAUCCGUAGCUGGUCUGAGAGGAUGAUCAGCCACACUGGAACUGAGACACGGUCCAGACUCCUACGGGAGGCAGCAGUGGGGAAUAUUGGAGAAUGGGCGCAAGCCUGAUCCAGCCAUACCGCGUGGGUGAAGAAGGCCUUCGGGUUGUAAAGCCCUUUUGUUGGGAAAGAAAAGCAGCAGGUUAAUACCCCGCUGUUCUGACGGUACCCAAAGAAUAAGCACCGGCUAACUUCGUG